UCGCCAUCUGCAGAAACAAUGUCAGAAACUCAGAGCACCCCAAGUUGGAGUUCCAACGUACGAGAAUGAAUGCUGGCGCCGUUUUGGUUAAUUUUUGGAGCGUUAGGGUUUGAUUUCGAAAUGGAAAAACUCGCAUUCAUAUAUACGUUGGCAUACCAAUGUGAAAUCAAAUACCACUCUAUU